rnacentral:lncRNA from 1 species
UCAACACCACUUUACCACUUUGUAUUUUAUUGUGGAACUGAGUUUGUUUCUUUUACAUCAAAUAUCCUCAAUGGAAGAGGGGAUAUUGCACACAAAUAUCAUAAAAGCACUACAUAUUACUUCACUGAAACUAAUUUUCUACAUUAGAUAUGACUGGAUAGAAUAGAAGUGAUGCAAGAUUAUAAGACAUAAUACCAUACACAGCUGCAGACUGACACAAAUACCAUUCAGAACAAGAGAGAGGAGGUGUGUGAGGUGCUUCUCGGCCAGCAACAAGACUGUUUCUUUCCAUAGUUUGGAAGAUAAUGGCUGCAUGCAAAUGCGUGAAAGCUUGUUUCAGAUUUUCUCUUUUACAGUUGUAAAUACAGCCCAGUCUUGAAGAGGUAGCUCCUGCCAUCUAGAGCUCCUAGCUAGUCUAGAGCAGAGAAGCUGCUUUUUUAAUUUUUUUUUUUUUUAAUUUUCUAUAUUUUUAUGCCAUUGUUUUAUUUACUUAUUUUUUUAUUUUUUUUUUGGUAAUCAAUAACAAACCAUGCUCCUAGAAAUCUAUGCUGAUCAACAGCACUCAUCUUUAAUGUACACGGUACAUUUUGAUGACUGUUACACUAAACUAAUUGCGUAGUACUAGGACUAGCACAGGUAGAUUAGUUUCACAGGCAGGAAAGGAGCAAGAGGAGCUAAUGGAGGAGUUCAUUGCUGUGUUGCACCCAGGUGCCAUUGCCAUUUGAAAGGGAAUGGAUGGAACAGGCAUUACAAUACCUCAGAGUAGCCAGACAGGGGUUUUAGUAUUCUUGUAGCAGCAAAAAAGUGAAUGUAAUUUUUAGAUAAGCUGUAACUGUCUAAUUAUUAUUAAAUUAAAACAAAUGCUUGAGCCAUCACAAACUUGCUUGGGGAGACUUAAGGCUUGAUUCCAAUUUCAUUUACAGUAGGACCAAAUGACUGUAACUUCCCUGACUCUAGAGAAAUUGCUCCUGGUUCACAGGAGUAAGUAGCAUAAGUGAGAUCUGUCUCAGGACCACUUCUGUACUUAAAACAGAUUUUCUACCAAAGCAGAGAUACAAACCAUUUCAGAUAUUGUGAGAAAAUCAGAAAAUCUGUUCCCACCCUCUCAAAAAGUUUGAAAUCUGACCUAUAUAAGAAAGUAGACAAAGCAGAAAGAAUUGUAGAAAUAGUACAACUAUUCUGCCAAACAUUUUGCCUAUAACUUUGUAAACUACAUAUUACAAAAGCAAUUUUAAGUGAAUGAUUAUGAGCCCAGCAAACAUGCUUGUUUUCACAACACAUUUCCAUCUGCCUUUUGUGCC